GACGAACGCUGGCGGCGUGCUUAACACAUAGCAAGUCGAGCGGUAAGGCCCUUUCGGGGGUACACGAGCGGCGAACGGGUGAGUAACACGUGGGUGACCUGCCCUCAGCUCUGGGAUAAGCCUGGGAAACCGGGUCUAAUACUGGAUAUGACUCCAUGACGCAUGUUGGUGGGGUGGAAAGCCUUGUGCGGCUGAGGAUGGGCCCGCGGCCUAUCAGCUUGUUGGUGGGGUGANGGCCUACC
rnacentral:rRNA from 1 species